AUGAUAAUUACUAACACAAUAUUCAUCAAUCAGAUUGGUGUUGGCAUGACAAUCCAGAUUAUAAACUCACAAACGAAUCAAAAUAGAGUUAUGUUGUUGAGGUUGAAUCGAAAGAAGUGGUGGAGGGCGUAUGUUGUUACAGCUUCUGAAGGAGGGGAACGCUUUACGAUUGGUCGACUGAACCGGAUGAAUGGAGAUGCACAGUUAGAGUUGAAUAUGAUGCGGAACAUGGGGUUACUAGUUGUUGAGCGAGAAGGAUGA